CAGCAUGCCAGGCUAAUUUUGUAUUUUUAGUAGAGACAGGGUUUCUCCAUGUUGGUGAGGCUGGUCUCAAACUCCUGACCUCAGGUGACUUGCCAGCUUUGACCUCCCAAAGUGCUGGGAUUACAGGCAUGAGCCACCAUGCCCGGCCCUGCUUUCUUGCUUUCUUUUUCAGAUCAGUCACUGUUGACAUAUAUAAAUGCUCCCGAUUUUUGUAUGUUGUUUUGUUUGUAUCCUGCCACUUUACUAAAUUCGUUUAUCAGUUCUAAUAGUGUUCUUGGUGGAGUCUUUAGGUUUUUGUAAUUAUAAGAUAAUGUCAUCUGGAAACAAGGCUAGUUUGACUUCUUCCUUUCCAAUUUGGAUGCCCUUCAAUCUUAUUGGUUUGUUGAGGUUUUCUAUUUCUUCAUGGUUGAAUCUUGGUAGGCUUUAGAGGUCUAGGACUUUGUCCAUUUCUCUUAGAUUUUGAAAUUUGUUGUAUAGUUGUUCAUAAUAGUGUUGUAGUCUCAGCAAUGCAUGAAGAUGUAACAGUCUCUCCUUGUCUGAGAUGACACCUGGAGUUCUUUGUCCUACCUCCAAGAUGAUUAAGGAGUACAGACACAAAGGUGAGGUUAGAGCAAAAGUUUAAUAAGCGAAAGAAGAAAGCUCUCUGCCAGCAGAGAGGGGGGCUCAAAUGGGGUGCCCACUAUGAGGCUGGGGUCCCGGGUUUUAUGGACUGGGAAGGGGAAGGAAUGUGCUUAGUUCCUGGGCUGUCUUGGAGAACACGUGACUCAGCUUGGCCCAGAGACCUCGGCCGCGACUACGCCCAGCUAAUUUUUAUAUUUUUAGUACAGACAGGGUUUCACCAUGUUGGCCAGGAUGGUCUCGAUCUCUUGACCACGUGAUCCACCCACCUCCGCCUCUCAAAGUGCUGGGAUUACAGGCGUGAGCCACCGCCAGGGCCUCUCAGGCUGCUUUUUAUGUUAUGUGAGAAUGAGGCAUUGACCCAGGGGCCAGGGGCUCUCUGGCACCCUUCCCUUGUUAUCUAUCUAAGGCAAGCUAAAUAACUCCUUUCAAUAGUAUCUAAUAAUCCUUUCUAAGGUCUCAGUUGUUGUAUCUCCUUUCUCAUUUCUGAUUUUAUUUGGAUCUUUCUCUUUUUCUCUUAGUCUAGAUAAAUGUUUGUUGA
rnacentral:lncRNA from 1 species